GGGUAAGUCCUCUACGGCAUGCUCCUGCAGAAUCCCCCCAGGGUCGGAAGGCAGCAAGGGUAAGCGGUUGUAGCGGCGCGAUAGAGGUAGCUUACCCACU
rnacentral:SRP_RNA from 1 species